AACGAACGCUGGCGGCAUGCCUAACACAUGCAAGUCGAACGAAACCUUCCGGUCUAUUGGCGCACGGGUGCUUAACGCGUGGGAACCUACCCUUAGGUUCGGAAUAACUCCCCGAAAGGGGUGCUAAUACCGGAUAAUGUCUUCGGACCAAAGAUUUAUCGCCUUUGGAUGGGCGCGCGUUGGUUUAGCUAGUUGGUAGGGUAAAAGCAUACCAAGGCGAAGUUGCUUAGCUGGUCUGAGAGGAGGACCAGCCACACUGGGACUGAGACACGGCCCAGACUCCUAGGGAAGGGAGCAGAGGGGAAUACUGGACGAUGGGCGAAAGCCUAAUACAGCAGUGUGGCGUAAGUGAUGAAGGCGUUAGGGUUGUAAAGCUCUCUUAGACGGGAUGAUAAUGACGGUACCGGGAGAAUAAGCUCCGGCUAACUACGUG
rnacentral:rRNA from 1 species